CCUCGCCCACCUCGCUUUCGGCGCCAACUUCACCUUCAGCAACCCUCUCCUCUGUUUUUGGCGCGCGCUCUCGUCAGAGCGAAAGGCCGCCCAAUCCUGGAGUUAGAAUCUUAUGGAACAGCAUUCUGGAAUUUUAGGGGCACAGAACUAUUCAGAACCUGCUGAAUACCACCUCUGGUCUGCACUCCUUGGCUUAACGUCUCAGGCAUGUUGGUGCUAAUGAAGUUCUAGAAACAGGAUUAAUGAACUCUUGAAACCUUACCAAACUGCAAACAAGAUGAAAUAUUGAGAACACUGGAUCAAUUGAAAGAAACAUGGCUGUUAAGAAGAGGAGCAGCCAAACCUUUAACUGACCUGAUAUCUUUGGGUUUGUCAUCUGACAUUUCUGCAGAUCAUCACUAUAAACUCUCUGAAUCCUACAAUCAAACUACUCAUCCAAAAAAGGAAAACAAUCUACAUACUAGCAAAUCCAUAUGUCCUUCUAUCCCAAAACAGACCAAAUUGAUUCCAUCUUGUUCACUUUCAGAUAAUAAUGAUCUUCAUUGUGUUUUAUUAGAGGGCCUAGUUCAGAAAAGAAGACAAAAAAGUUGCUGUAACUCAGGGCUGUCAAAGUCUCGGGCUGCGGGCCAGAUAUGUCAUAUGCUGGCCAUACCCAUGCCCGGUUUAGUAAAGAGUCCCGAUACAUCAUGUGAUGCUGUCAUGAUGACAUGAGUUUGACAUCCCUGCUGUAACCAAUCAGCUUGCAAAACCAGCCAGGUACAGGGGUAGCAAAUUAAUUGUUAUAUUAGUCCAAAGCUGCUGUCUUCUAAUAAUUCUCAUCUUUUCUCCAAACGCUCAAGGUUAUAUAAAAGAAUAAUACCAAUUAGGCUUAUUAUAGGCAUAUUGAAGACAGACUACUACAAUCAUUGCAACAUAUGGUGAUGUCUAUUUUACAGAUCAGAUACUGGAUAGUUGGAUAGAGAGUAAUAUAGCAUUAGUAUUUAAAGAAAGUCAGAUUUUGUCUCACCAAAAAAUUACCACCAUUCUAUAAUUAUUGAAUAAUGAUUUUAAAUUAUUUAUGAUAAUUUUAAGUGAGAGAAUACAGAUAGUUUUAAAGGAUAUUGUUCAUGAAGGUCAGCUUCAGUUUUUACGUAAAAACAGAAUUAGAUAACAUUAGAAAUGUAUUGGAUAUUUUGGAAUACAUGGAGCAACAUAAUGAGAAAUGAGCAGCAUUAAUUUUUCUUGAUGCAGAAAAGGUCUUUGACAAUUUGAACUGAUUUUGUUUAAAAUUUUGGGUGAUAAGGUGUUUGGUGAGAAUUUUAUCAAAUACGUAAAAUCAAUUAACAUUCCACAAAAGGCAUAGAUCAUUGUGAAUGAGUAAUUAACAAAAAUUGUGAGGAGACUGGUAAGGGAUUAGGCAAGGAUACUUUGUCACCAUUGUUAUUUAUUAUGGUUUUUGAAGUAUUGUUAUCAAUCAAGGUGAGAUAAUUUCUGGAGUGAAGAUUAAAAGGGAAAUUGAUAAAUUAAAAGCAUUUGCUGAUGACAACUUUGGAAGACUCUCUAGAAGGAAUAGAACUAUUAAUGGAAAAAAUAACAGAAUUUGGGAUAUUAGUUGGCUUUAAAAUUAAUAAAUAAAAGA